rnacentral:rRNA from 1 species
CCUACGGGUGGCAGCAGUGAGGAAUAUUGGUCAAUGGACGAGAGUCUGAACCAGCCACGUAGCGUGAAGGAUGACUGCCCUAUGGGUUGUAAACUUCUUUUAUAUGGGAAUAAAAUGUUCCACGUGUGGGAUUUUGUAUGUACCAUAUGAAUAAGGAUCGGCUAACUCCGCGCCAGCAGCCGCGGUAAUACGGAGGAUCCGAGCGUUAUCCGGAUUUAUUGGGUUUAAAGGGAGCGUAGGUGGAUUGUUAAGUCAGUUGUGAAAGUUUGCGGCUUAACCGUAGAAUUGCAGUUGAAAAUGGCAGUCUUGAGUACAGGAGAGGUGGGCGGAAUUCGUGGUGUAGCGGUGAAAUGCGUAGAGAUCACGAAGAACUCAGAUUGCGAAGGCAGUUCACUGGACUGCAACUGACACUGAGGCUCGAAAGUGUGGGUAUCAAACAGGAUUAGAUACCCCAGUAGUC